rnacentral:rRNA from 1 species
GACUACGCUAGACUCAACGUGCCUGAGCCUGUCUGAUCUCAGACACUAAACAGUCCCAGGUCUAGCUAAUAACUGAAUGAGAGACUGCCUGGGAAUUCCAACUGCUGUAGGCU